rnacentral:rRNA from 1 species
GGUGAGUAACACGUGACCAACCUGUCCUAGGGUGGGGGAUAACCUGGGGAAACCCGGACUAAUACCGCAUGAUGUCCUGUCAUCGCAUGGUGACUUGAUCAAAGAGAGCCUCUGCUUGCAAGCUCUCGCCCAAGGAGGGGGUCGCGACGUAUCAGCUAGUUGGUGGGGUAACGGCCUACCAAGGCUACGACGCGUAGCGGGUCUGAGAGGACGACCCGUCACAUUGGGACUGAGAUACGGCCCAGACUCC